AAGUCGUAACAAGGUUUCCGUAGGUGAACCUGCGGAAGGAUCAUUAACACAUUGUCCAUUUGAUGAUAGUGAUUGCGGGGGGGGGAGUGUAAAAGCUCCUCUUCUCGGGUCCUAUCAUUCAAACCUAAUAGCGAAUGAGUUGAAGUCCUCAUUAUUAAUUAACUUUAAUAAUUAGUGGAAUAAGACUAUUGUAAUCACGUUUUAAUGAAUUUGUAAAAGGAUUCAUUCGACUAAAUGUUUACAAAACAAACAAAUAUAAAUAACCAAGACAACUUGUAACAGUGGAUACCUUGGUUCCCAG
rnacentral:misc_RNA from 1 species